CCUACGGGAGGCAGCAGUAGGGAAUCUUCCACAAUGGACGAAAGUCUGAUGGAGCAACGCCGCGUGAGCGAUGAAGGCCUUCGGGUCGUAAAGCUCUGUUGUUAGGGAAGAACAAGUACCGGAGUAACUGCCGGUACCUUGACGGUACCUAACCAGAAAGCCACGGCUAACUACGUGCCAGCAGCCGCGGUAAUACGUAGGUGGCAAGCGUUGUCCGGAAUUAUUGGGCGUAAAGCGCGCGCAGGCGGUCCUUUAAGUCUGAUGUGAAAGCCCACGGCUCAACUGGGGAGGGUCACUCGAUACUGAUCGACUCGAAGGCGGGAGAGGGAAGCGGAAUUCCCGGUGUAGUGGUGAAAUGCGUAGAUAUCGGGAGGAACACCAGUGGCGAAGGCGGCUUCCUGGCCCGUUCUUGACGCUGAGGCGCGAAAGCUAGGGGAGCAAACGGGAUUAGAUACCCCGGUAGUCCUAGCCGUAAACGAUGGACACUAGGUGUUGGUGGUAUCAACCCCGCCAGUGCCGAAGCUAACGCAUUAAGUGUCCCGCCUGGGGAGUACGGCCGCAAGGCUAAAACUCAAAGGAAUUGACGG
rnacentral:rRNA from 1 species